rnacentral:rRNA from 1 species
UCUGGUGGCGAUGGCGAGAAGGUCACACCCGUUCCCAUACCGAACACGGAAGUUAAGCUUCUCAGCGCCGAUGGUAGUUAGGGGCUGUCCC